CGUGAGUUGAGUUCGGAUGAGACGAAAAUUGGGAGAAAGCCAGGGCACGCAAAUGACGAGCUCGGUUUCAUUUUAACGACGUGAGUGCGAGGUCGUGUGUGAGGCGACGUCGACGUGCAAGGGGCGGGCGACGUGCGAUGUGCCACGUGGGGAGCGACGUGGGAUUGCAAGGAAGGUAUGAUCUUCUCUCUUUUUUUUUUGGUUUUGCCUUACGGGUCAACACACAAAUUGCCCUGUGCCUCUAAUGUGGCUCGGGGAAGCCCCUGGCGAGUACAUUGGGUCAGUUUUGGGUUGAGUCCCUCAGGAAAAAGUGGUGAAUCUCCUAGGUGAAUGUGAGAGUGAGCUAGGGUUGAAUGUAGUCAAGAAUCUUAAAUGUAAGGUUUUGUUGAUCCCUACACAUCAAACACGCGCAAAAUAAGCGAAUUUGAUGAAACAAGCAACUCGUGCGUCGACGUAACGACUCAUUUGAAGGGUCAAAUGACUUCCGAUUGAUGAACGGACUGUGCCAUUACAAUCAGGAUGUCGAUUUUGCCUAAGUAGGAUCUCUCGCAGUCAAAUCAGACGAUAUCAAUCCUAAGGGAGGAUGACCGACACAAAAAAUUGACGCGCGACGUCGCCCAAACGACGUCCGAUCGCAUAACGGAUUUCUUCGUCGCGCUCGGAACAUCGUCAACACCCAAAAACCACUGCAAACUUGUUCAAUUGGGAUCAUUCGAGAUGACGACAGGAUUCCCGAGGCAACCACGUGUAAAACGAGAACAUUGUCGCACGACAUUGCCCAAACGACUUUUUUCAAUUGCAUAACAAACUUUGUCGUUGCAUUCAAAAUGUUGUCAAUACUUAAAAAUCACUACCAAUUUGGUCAAUGAAAGUCACGCAAGGAACUUGACGAGGUCUCGAGGCAACGACACACGAAUCGAGGGAAUUAAUGUGCGACGUCGCCUGAUCGCAAAACGUACUCCGUCGUUGCCUUCAGAAAAUUGUCAAUACCCAAAAGGAACUAUCAAUUUGUCCAAUUAAAGUCGUGCGGCGAAAUGGACGCUUAUUCUGAGAUGAAAUGCAUGAAUUACGAGGAAACACGAGAAUCAAGGCUUUAUUUUUUAAAUCAGCGCGUGACUGUCAUUCUGUAUUAAUAAUAAUAUUAUUAUUAAUAAUAUUAUUAUUAAUAUUAACUUAAAAGAAAAAACUCAAAUCAAGUCAAACAAAAACAUUUUAAAUCUUAAAUAAAUAAAAACCUGCGACAUUUCUCUGCGAAAAUCCUCUCUAAAUCCCGGAAAUCCCAUUGGCUGAAACCUCAGAUAUCUACUUCGCGUCUCUUCGCCUCGGUCGUCUUCGUUUACUGGCAUUAAAACGAGAACGAUCGUUCACUUCUUGGUCUUUUUCCACGCUCAAGCACUCCAAACGUUUGAUCGAUUUGAACCUUCAACCAACCUCCCCAUCGAGACGCCUCUUUCCCCCUCUCGCGAGCCAAACCUCUACCUGUUGUCGUAGCUCCGUCCGUCCACGUGCUUUGAUUCUCAAACUCACCACGCCAAAACUACGCAACCCGUCCACACGCAGCUUCUCCUUUCACUUUAGCCGAACUCCUCUUCAACAAAAACUCCAUCUAGCCGCUCCUAUAGUCACGAUUUACCAGCACCCUGUCCAAAAAGCUCAGCCUAUUAACUCCUCACGACCAGAUCGUGUUUAGCUACUCCCUCCACCCGUGAGAUCUACAGCCAGCUCCGACAUGCUCUGAACUCCGAUCCCUCAGCAGUGGCACCUUGUACGAUCUCUAACAGCCAGUCGUAGCCUCCCCUACCCUCCAUUUAGCCUUCUUCCAACCAAUCGAAGCUCUAAGACCUGCACCUGCUUCACUACAAGCCAAACACCCUUCCACAACACACCUGGCGGAAUCUCCUCACGCAAACAAAACCUACUUCUUCUUUUAGCUGCUAUGAUUCAACGUCCCUCCAAGCCAGAAUCUGCCCGCCGCACCACUCCAUAGCCGAUCUCUCAGUAAGCCGCUUUGCCUCUCAUUCUCUCUCUCAUUCCAAGUGACUGAGAACAAUACGGCUGUUGCCUCUACUCUUGAAUUGCAUAGCUCUUUUUAUGCCAAUGUUUCCCUGCUCCCAUUCACGUGAAAGCCGAUCCCUGUUCACAUCCACGUGAAGAUUUGCAAUAGCCGUAUUCCCAUUCUACAUUUAGUGGAAUUAUUUCAGUGAUUCAUCAAAAGGCUCAAUUUCCCCCAAUAGUCAAAAAAAAAAAAAAAAUCGCCCAAUUAGUCAAAAAGAGAUUAGAAUACUUGCCAAGAGGAUGUGGAAAAAGGAUGGCGAAGAUGUUUCAUAAAAGAUUUCAGGUUGCCAAGAAGAAUCUGUAGGAGGCCAAGCUAAGUCAAAGUUCUAGGGAAAGCUUACCGGCUGAGAGCCACAAAGUUAUCUCGACAUGCCAUUGUUGUCAAGCAGUUCAUGUGCCAGCCUAGUGCUAAUUAUCCGAGUUAGUGUUGCCUUAUAGUAACCAACUGGACACUGAAUCCCAGACUAAUUGUAACAACAUUUUUGCCUUUGGUAACCAAUGUUUUCCUUCUUAUAUGUAAAAGGAGACAUCAUAUACAGAAAAAAUAUAUAUAUUCUUUCUCCCUU